GGGGGCGAAAUAGGAUCGACGAGGGUGUAAAGAUCGGACUUUCGCUCGGCAUGGUACCACCGUUAUCGGACCGAACCUUAUAGUUGCCAACGACAACUAUGCGGAAGCACGUCUCGCUGCUUAAUGCAGCGCGAUAGCUUCAAUUCAAGUCUCAGGCCGUCGCAGGCCUGAGCGGGGUUCGGAGGCACCUGGCAACAGAAGCCUCCACU
rnacentral:tmRNA from 2 species